UUAAAAACAAAACACUUUGGGACAAAAAUCAGAAGAGCUUACCUUGAAUUAUGAAAGCUGCAAAAUGUUGAGCAUGAGUGUACAUGAUUAGAUUAGAAGAAAUUACUCAUGCAGCCUUUAUUAUAAUGGUCAAAUUGCUCCCAGAGUAAAAAUUACAGUGCAUCCCUCCUUGCCCUGCAAUGGCUCCGUGUACAGAAAACACUAGUUGAUGAGAAGAUAUAACCUCAGCCUAGGGAAUUCACAUGGUGAGGUCCAACCUGAAAAUUGGGCAUCUCUAUUAUUUUGGAGGAUGAGACCCAUCAGAUGGACUCUAGCACCACAAACCGUCUUUCCCACAGUAAACCUGCAAUGAGGCAGAAGUGUUAUCUGAGUAAAAGCUGGACCAUGCAUUACUUUUAUAUCUCAUAGAAGCUGUGGUGCUUGUGGUGUCUGUGGUGAUUACUAUGUCUUGACAUGAUGUGAACCCAAAUACAGACUAAAUAAUCUCAUCUGAAGUCUGACGCUCCUCUGAUGGAACGAGCAGCACAGAAGAGUCUGCUGCUGCCUGGUCCUCAUCCCAAGACCUGCAGGCCCCCUGGCAGCUGUCUGCUGCCCUGCAGCAAGCCCCUGCCUGGGAAGAAGUCCUCCAUUACCUCCUGCUGCCAGGAGCCCCUGGCCCAGCCCCCACCCUGGGUCUGCUGCCACCAACCUGGGCCCAGGCCACUCGCCCCUGCUCCACAUGUGGAACUGGAACUGCCUGGAGAGGCACCAGGACUGGACAUCGGCCAUGCUGGGCCUCAACGCUGCCAGCCAGAGGGGAAGCUGCUCACCCUGGAGGAUCACUGGGUGCUGUUGCCCUGCUGGGCAAGCCCCCAGCCCACUGCAGUUGCUGCAGCAUGAGGACCCAUCAGGGAAUAGCCAGAGGCUGGGGUGCUGGCCACCUGUCCCUGGCCUCUGCCCCCUAGGUGCCUUUAUCCCAAGGCUGCCCACUCUGGGACUCCAGAAAAAAUCCACCUUGUACAUAGUUUCCACAGGGAAGAGUGUUUCUUAUGGUUGGGGGGUACGCUGGAUGGUGGAAGGGCUCUGUGUGUUGAGGAGGGAGGAUUUCUGUUGGAUGUGGGGAAAAUAAAGACUUUUUCUUCUGA